AUGAACGCUGGCGGCGUGCCUAAUACAUGCAAGUCGAGCGAACAGACGAGGAGCUUGCUCCUCUGACGUUAGCGGCGGACGGGUGAGUAACACGUGGAUAACCUACCUAUAAGACUGGGAUAACUUCGGGAAACCGGAGCUAAUACCGGAUAAUAUAUUGAACCGCAUGGUUCAAUAGUGAAAGACGGUUUUGCUGUCACUUAUAGAUGGAUCCGCGCCGCAUUAGCUAGUUGGUAAGGUAACGGCUUACCAAGGCGACGAUGCGUAGCCGACCUGAGAGGGUGAUCGGCCACACUGGAACUGAGACACGGUCCGGACUCCUACGGGAGGCAGCAGUAGGGAAUCUUCCGCAAUGGGCGAAAGCCUGACGGAGCAACGCCGCGUGAGUGAUGAAGGUCUUCGGAUCGUAAAACUCUGUUAUUAGGGAAGAACAAAUGUGUAAGUAACUAUGCACGUCUUGACGGUACCUAAUCAGAAAGCCACGGCUAACUACGUG
rnacentral:rRNA from 1 species